rnacentral:rRNA from 1 species
UUUGGUGAUGAUGGCAGAGAGGUCACACCCGUUCGCCAUACCGAACACGGAAGUUAAGCUCUCUAGCGCAUGUAGUGGGACCUUUCCCGUGAGAGUAGGACGUCGCCCAAG